GACGAACGCUGGCGGCGUGCUUAACACAUGCAAGUCGAACGAAGUGGCGAACGGGUGAGUAACGCGUAAUCAACCUGCCCUUCAGCGGGGGACAACAGUUUGAAACGACUGCUAAUACCGCAUACUGAAGGAGGGGCUUGCGUCUGAUUAGCUAGGUGGGGGGGUAACGGGCCACCAAGGCGAUGAUCAGUAGCCGGUCUGAGAGGAUGAACGGGCACAUUGGGACUGAGAAAAGGCCCAGACUACUACGGGAGGCAGGAGUGGGGAAUCUUCCGCAAUGGACGGAAGUCUGACGGAGCAAAGGCGCGGGAGUGAUGAAGGCCUUCGGGUUGUAAAGCUCUGUUAAUCGGGACGCAGUACCGGAAUAGAAAGCCACGGCUAACUACGUGCCAGCCGCCGCGGUAAUUC
rnacentral:rRNA from 1 species